GCCAUAUCACGUUGAAACACCAGUUUCCAUACGAUCACCGGAGUUAAGCAACGUUGAGACUUGUUAGUACUUAAAUGCGUGACCGAUUGGGAAUAUCGGGUGCUAUA